rnacentral:rRNA from 1 species
GAUGAACGCUGGCGGCGUGCCUAAUACAUGCAAGUCGAGCGAACAGACGAGGAGCUUGCUCCUUUGACGUUAGCGGCGGACGGGUGAGUAACACGUGGGUAACCUACCUAUAAGACUGGGAUAACUUCGGGAAACCGGAGCUAAUACCGGAUAAUAUUUCGAACCGCAUGGUUCGAUAGUGAAAGAUGGCUUUGCUAUCACUUAUAGAUGGACCUGCGCCGUAUUAGCUAGUUGGUAAGGUAACGGCUUACCAAGGCAACGAUACGUAGCCGACCUGAGAGGGUGAUCGGCCACACUGGAACUGAGACACGGUCCAGACUCCUACGGGAGGCAGCAGUAGGGAAUCUUCCGCAAUGGGCGAAAGCCCGACGGAGCAACGCCGCGUGAGUGAUGAAGGUCUUCGGAUCGUAAAACUCUGUUAUUAGGGAAGAACAAACGUGUAAGUAACUGUGCACGUCUUGACGGUACCUAAUCAGAAAGCCACGGCUAACUACGUG